AGCAGCCGCGGUAAUUCCAGCUCCAAUAGCGUAUAUUAAAGUUGUUGCAGUUAAAAAGCUCGUAGUUGAAUUUCGAGAUCAAAUUGUUGGUCGUGCCUUGGUACGCACUGGCAUUAUUGGUUUCUCCCUUCUGAAGAACCAUGAUGUCAUUAAUUUGGUGUCUUGGGGAAUCAGGACUGUUACUUUGAAAAAAUUAGAGUGUUUAAAGCAGGCUCGCGCUUGAAUACAUUAGCAUGGAAUAAUGAAAUAGGACGUUUGAUUCUAUUUUGUUGGUUUCUAGGAUCGACGUAAUGAUUAAUAGGGAUAGUUGGGGGCAUUAGUAUUCAAUUGUCAGAGGCGAAAUUCUUGGAUUUAUUGAAGACUAACUACUGCGAAAGCAUUUGCCAAGGAUGUUUUCAUUAAUCAAGAACGAAAGUUAGGGGAUCGAAGACGAUCAGAUACCGUCGUAGUCUUAACCAUAAACUAUGCCGACUAGGGAUCGGAUGAUGUUAAUUUUUAAUGA
rnacentral:rRNA from 1 species